CCCUCCGCAGGGCGCGGCUGAACCACGGUCGGGGCAGCGGCACCGUGGGAGAACAAAGUCAAGAAAGGGCAAAACAUGACACAAAAGAUUCUGAGGAAAAAGAGGAACAACCCCAUGAGCAGCAAGUCUGUGUAUCCAUAUUUGAGGUACAUUUCAAUCCAUCAUAUUUCUGAAGACACCUGUAAUGCUUUAUCCUAUGGAUAAAUCCUCAAAAUUGCAAAUAAGCCUACAGAGGGUGGAAUCUACAAUGGGUAACCUGGGAAGAGUGCGGAGACUGACGUAUGAAAACAUCAAGCUUUGUGUGGUGUGGUCAUUAGAUUGGAGGGAAGGGAUGCCAUCCAGAGGCACCUGGACAGGCUUGAGAAGUGGAACCUUGCAAACCUCGUGAAGUUCAACAAGGCUGAGUUCAAGGUACCCAUUAAACUGUUUGUGCUCCCUGGGCCUGGGUCGCGCUGUGCGUGUGCUGCGGGUGGCAGUAAGUCUGUCUCGGCGCUGUACGUCAGUCCAGGCAGUGCAAUCAUGCUGCUGCAGUAUUGUUACACCACCUCCAAGUGCUUCCUCAUGGGGAGAAGAGGUUGCCAUAACAGUUAUGCAUCCAGAGUGAGCAGCAGCUGGUUGUAACACCAAGGAGUAAAGGCAGGGUGGUGAGAAUGUGAAGGAUGCUCCACCUCAGACACCAGUUGAACACAAACUUCCAGAGUGGCAGCUGCAGCCAGCUAUGGGUUGGUUGUGCCCUCUAGCAUGAGUGCACAGCCUAAUA